ACAUACAUGGCGGCUCCUGGGGAGAUACACAGUUAGCCUAAUGGUAAACGUUAACUUUUAAACAAAUAAAAGCAGAAAGUAGUCGAGAUUCAUACAUUACAGAUAAUUUCUAGUAUUGCUCUUCUGUUUCUGUAUACGUCAUCUACCGAGGCUCGAGCAACAUAACCCUUUGUCGCAAUCAGGACAUAUAAAGCAGGAACAUCAGACAAUGGAAAUCAGCUUUACAAGACAAUCUAACAACGCGGUACCUAUAUUUACUGUAUAGUAGAUGUGUGCGAGUGUCAGAUCUAUAAAUGCCGAUUAUAUUCUCAUCCUCGUAAACGCUCCAUCCGUCAGAAACCUCACAGAAGAGGAAGAGGAAAAAUCCUCCUAAACGUGACGAAGACGCGCUUCCAAACAAGCAGGAAUAACUCCAUGUGUAGCAGAUGAAAUCCGUGUUACGCAGUAUUGACAAGAUGUUUAUUAAAGGGUUCAUUCAAGUUUAUAAAGAUUUUAUUAAAUGGGAAAGUAAAGACAUGGGUUGUGCAAAAGCACGCAGCAAUAAAAUUGAAGAUACAGCAGAACAAGGAGUGAGCACGGGGAGAGCGGCAUAAAAGAGCCACACCGCCAGCAGACAGGAGAGAGAGACUGGCACAAGGAAGGCCACGGUGCUACAAGCUAUUGUGAUGAUUAUGUAAUGAAGUUAAAGUGUUUAAGUAAAUAUUUGCCUGUGAAGCUAUUGAGUUUGUGAAACUGUAAGCAUCAGGGUGGAUAAAUUAAACACCUACCUGAACCGGGAAACCUCGCUUCUCGCCUCCUCCUUUCCACUGAAAAGUGUUACACUGUCCUACUGUGUUUGUUUUGCCGCUAUAUCCAAAAGAAAGAAGCGAUUGUACUAUUUACCGCAGGAAUUAUGAAAUAACUGCUAUUUUAAAAUGUACAAUUAUGUCUAAUAUAUAGUCGCCAAAAGGCUUUAUCCACGUUUUGAUUAUGAAUUACAGUGACGUUCUGACCUAUAAAUUUCUUCUCCGCAGAUCCAUGAAGUAUUCUCAUGGUUUUUAUAGGGAUAUUAUUUGGUUCGUUGGUCCAUUGGGUCGGUUUGCAUUCUCAUCACAAGCGAACUGCUCCAGAGUUAGUUUGCAAUCGGUCUGAGACAACCUCGUUCAGGAGGUCUCGGACAGAUUGUUUUGGUGUGGAUCUGAGUGCUAAUGCCGUGUUCAUAUAUGCCUAAAUGAACCGAGGUAGAAAACGCGCCGGGGCCGGAUUCAUGAAACGUUCUUAAGAAGAAAUUUCUUAAUUACUAUUUUCUUCUUAAUUUGUAACUUAAGAAAAAAGUUAAGAAUAUUUUGUAUUCCUGAAUAAACUUCUUAAGAAAGUUCUUAUCUUUGUACUUAAGAUUGUUCUUAAGAAAAAACUUAAGAGGUCACGUGACGCCAUGCGAGGUUCGGACGUGUGAACGGCGAGCUCUGCGCACUUUGCUAGUUUUAAUACUUUUCAUGUCAUAAACCGGUGAGAUUUGAUACAUCCUGAUCCUUAACUGUUCUAUGAAGACAAUAUGUCAAAGAAUUCAAAAUCCUCAGGCUCUGGAGACAUUAAAAGACACUUACGUGCUCAAGCUGAAGCCCCUGAGCGGCAAGCCGUAAGCCCGGGACUCAAUUUGGCCAGUGAGGUGAAAGAGAUUUAGCGUCAACUGUUGAACAUGUCGGUGAUGCUGAUGAAGGUCAUUGCUGACUUGGAGGAUCUUGCUGUAAUACGUUGAUCGAUCACUGCAAUGGAGACGAAAUUCACUGAUAUGGUUACAUUUCUGGAUGGGUUCUUUCUGAGUCUGCUCCACAUAACAGGCCAUAAGCUGGAAAUCGAGCAAGCUCAAAGGGUCCCGGCUUGGUGAGCCGCUGAGGAAGACAGGCCCUGAUCAAUUCUGGCCAAAUUUCUGAGAUCAUCCGAUAAAGAUCUCGUGGUAGGCGAGGAGUUAAGUGAUGCUUUCUUGGAAGAACCACAGCAUUUUCUUGUUCCCAGAUGUUGCGAAUUCGACAAGAGGUAAAUGUGAUUGAUUCAAGGAAUGCAAGAAACUCUUACAUCAACGGAAGGUUGCUUUUGCUCUGAUGUUCCUGGCCAAAUUGAGAAUAGAUACUAAGGAUGGCCACAAAAUGUUUACAUGCCCACAGCAAGCAAUGUACUUCAUAAAGUCAAUGACUAAGUUAUUUGUGGUUCUCAUGUUGCAGCCGAGUGGGCCUGACUCACUGAACAUUCACUUGACUGUUCGAGGAACUGGGCGCCUUUUUUGUUUCUUUUUGUGCUGGUUCCGUCUAGUGACUGGAGUUUGUUUGGUGGAAUAACAAUUUGUGGAUGAAUCUGCACAUUUUUUGUGCUUAUGCAUCCUACUGGCUGGAGUUAGUUUUGUGGAAUAUUCCUUGCACGACAUUGGAGUGAUUAGGUCAGUUGUUGCACUCAUGUAACAGCCGAGUGGGCGUGACUCAUUAAACAUUCACUUGACUAUCCGAGGAAGCUGAGCACCUUUUUUUUGUUUCUUUUUGUGCUGGUUCCACCUAGUGGCUGGAGUUUGUUUCAUGGAAUAACACAUCUUCGGGACAGUGUUAUUCCAGGUUAUUCCGUGGGCCAGACGGCUUUGCUGCUGAAUUUUUUAGAUUUAUGCUACAGAACUGGCUCCACUUUUGUUAGAAGUUCAUACAGAAUCAUUAAAGAAUGGAAAGCUUUCGCCAACCAUGACACAAACCCAGAUCAGUCUGAUUCUUAAAAAGGACAAAGAUCCAAGUGAGUGUAAGAGUUAUUCUCCAAUUUCCCUGAUCCAGCUAGGCGUUAAAAUAUUGUCAAAAAUUUUGGCUAACCGAUUAAGUUAUGACAUCUCUUAUACAUAUAGAUCAGGUGGGGUUUAUUCGGGGCCGUAACUCUUCUGAUAACAAUAGGCGUUUCAUCAAUAUCAUGUGAUCAGUGGCGAAUGAUCAGACUCCGGUCGUUGCCAUCUCACUUGACGCCGAAAGAGCAUUUGAUAUGGUAGAAUGGGAUUAUCUUUUUAAGAUUUUGGAAAUGUACGGGUUGGAUUGAGUUACUUUAUAGACACACAGUGGAGGCGGUACAAACUAAUGGAUUAAUAUCAGAUUAUUUUACUUUGGAUAGGGGCACCCGGCAGGGUUGCCCUCUUUCCCCAUUAUUGUUCUGUCUUGCCCUGGAACCAUUAGCAGCCACGAUAAGCAAGGAAGAUGAUUUUCCAGGGGUGAUGGCGGGAGGAAUGGCGCAAAAGCUUUGCUCUAUGCAGAUGAUAUUUUAUUAUUCGUCUCCGACCCCAUUAGAUCUAUGCCUUGCCUCCACAGAAUUAUUAAUUCCUUUUCUAAGUUCUCAGGAUAAAGGGUUAAUUGGUCUAAAUCCGAAGCUUUGGCUAACAGCGUACAGCCCUGUAACGGCUUUUUAACCAGGCGCCUUCAGUGGCCCAAACAAGUAUUUGGGCAUUUUAUUUCCAGCAAAUUGAUUUAGUUAAGAGUUAAUUUUGACCCUUUAAUACAAAGGUUUGAGUGAUGUGGACAGGUGGGCUUCACAACAUUAAUCUAUGACUGGGAAGGUUCAUGUUAUAAAAAUGAAUUAUAUUCCAAAAUUCAACUACCUACGGUUCUCUCCCUGUUGAAGUUCCCCUCUUUUAUUUUAAACAAUUUGAUGGUAUAGCUUAGUCUUUAUUUGGAAUGGUAAACACCCUUGGUUGCAUUCCAGUAAGUUACAUAGGCCAAUUGUCAAAGUGGGUUAGGUCUCCCCAAGAUUUUGUUUUACUAUUAUGCUUUUGUCUCAGACAUUUGGCACAUUGGUCGCUUCCACCUGAGAGUGCCCUUGUUAACCUCCCUGGCUCUUUAUUUAUUGAACAGGAGGUAUUUGCCCCUAUCUUGCCAUUGCAAAGUCUUUCUACCAAGCUGCCCAGAGAAGUAAAGACACAUCCCGUUAUCGUGCAUUUAGUGUGGACAAAAGUACAUAAGUUGAUUCCGUGUAUUCUUGUGCUGUUUGUUUAAAUAUGUGUAUGGAAUCAAGAAAAAAUUGUUAAUAAAAAACAUUAAAAAAAUAAAUAAAAAAAAGCGUAAGCAUUCAAAUUCUGAAUUUUUUUUUUUUCUUAAAUAUCAUCGUAAAUAACAUCUUAAAAGUUAGGAUAACCUCACAGUUGUCUUAAAUUCUAAAAGGUAAGAUGUUUAAUGAAUUUACUGGGUUUUUCAUAUUGAGUCUGAAGUUGCAGUGGGCUGUUUACGUAGAAAGGUUAUUUUAGACCAAAAAAAGUUUUUGACUGUUUUGUUUAAUUAUAUUUUUAUUUUCAGCUUGUAAACCAUGUUAAUGUUAUCACCAAAUUCAAACAAUAAAUGUUGUUUUGAAGCUUAAUGUGGUGACCAAUCAUGCUAAUUGAAACGGAUGCACUACAUAUAGCGCGCUCUCUCCACGAUCUUUAGAGUUCAUAGAAACAUAAUAAUUAUAACAUUAGAAACCUGAGACUUUCUUUUUCACCCCCCAUCCACAUCCCUAUCGGAGUUGGGCACAGCGGAGACAGCCUCCACCACCUUUUCCCAUUUACCUGUCUCGUACUUUCCAACGUGAUAUUAUUAUCAAGCUUCCCAAGGAGAAAAUUUUCCUUGCAGUAAUUUCCUCAACAAGAACAUCCAGCUCUUGUCUACUGAAGUUUUUGUGUCUUUUCCUCCAUGUCAAAUUAUCAAAUGGUUAGCAGCAAGUAAAUUCUCAUUUGACGGUUAAUGUUGUUAAACUAACAUAUCUCACACACUUUACAUUCAAAAAAAUUAUUGCGAGGUGCUUGCUACUUAAAAAAAAAAAAAAAAAGGUUAAUUGAUAAAUAAAUUGAAGUAUAUUUGUUGUAGGCUAUUAGACAAGGCAACUCCAUUAGCAGGCUGAUCAGACAACAUCAAAGCCUGUCUUUUUAUUCUUAAGAAAAAAAUUCAGAUGCUCUUCAGAAAAUAUUUGAGAACUUAAGAAUUUUUCUAGAAUUGCACUUAGGAACAUUCUUACGAACUUCUUAUAAUUUAUCCUAAGAACUUUCGUAAUUUUUAUCUUAAGAACAUUUUUGUGAAUCCGGCCCCAGGUUCCGAAACAAAUGCUCCAAACGAGCCAGGUGUGAAAAUGCCUCACAUGUACGUGUGUUCCGAGAAUGCUCACACCUAAACGGUUAAAUACAUUUAAAAAAUCUGCCAAAAUGCCUGUGUUUAAAAAUAAAAACUGCAUGCGUCUUAACGGAAGAACAGUGGUUUGAUGAUGUAAGUUGUGCUUCGGCUCUGCUCCUCUAUGCGUAUGAAUGUGGUUCAAGGCACCAGUGUACACUGGAUACAGGACAUCUUAUCAGAGCGAAUGGACAAAUAAAUAACAAAAGAAAGGAAAAGACAGUUAUCUGAAAACAUGCAAUAUCUUAUGCUGUUGUUUUGACUUACUGGAAACAUUGAUGUUUUGAAAUAAGUGAUGUUACAGAAGUUAGGAAACGUUUGUUAACAUUAGACUUAAUAAGUUUGAUAAGGUCAAACGUUGUAAAGUUUUUAUAACUGCAGGAUAUUCUGGCCAAAUAGACCACGAUAGUAACUAAUUUAUUGAUUGUCAUUGUUACCAACCAGUGGUCAACAUCAGUUUAAGACUCACAUGUCCUUGGCAAGCCUUGGACAAUUAUUUAUAUCAAUUGUUGCUGUUAUAAAGAAAAAUACACACGUGUGCUAGCAAGUGAAAAGUUCUGCACUGAUUACAGUAUAAUUAUUGUAUUUCACAACACAAACACAGACAUGUGUGUGUGAUUACACAUCUAUACAUAAACCAUAUCAAUAAAAUAUCUUACCUGUUGAGUAAGAAAAAAAGACAUCUCUGGGUCACUUUUACCUCCUUUCAGAUCUCAAGAGUUGUCGCCACCUCUGAAAAGCCAAGUUGAUUCGGGUUUUAUUAUGGACUCUGUCACUUUCCCUUUUCACUUGUACACUCUGCUUUGUUUGGGGUUUCUUGGUUUUAAAACCGGUGAUUCCCCGGUGGUUUGUCAUUUUGAAUGAUCCAUGGUAAAUGUUUAUCGUUAGUUGUGACAACAAACUUUCAGAUUCACGCUACUGCCACACACGCAUUACAGUAGCUGGAGCUUAUUUUCUCUGUAUACGGAUAUGACGUCAACACGCACGGGCAAAUUACCUAUGUAUGCAAUUUCCCGUAAAAUCUGUCCCGACAGCUCUAAAAUAUAAAUAACUAUUAUAGGUUUAUCAAAGAGUAUUUGGGUAAAAACAUGGUUUGGAAGAUGGAUUUUUGUUGCACACUCUAAUUAAUAACAUUUUGUUAUUUUUUAACAAAAAAGUUACAUAGUGUAGCUUUAAUAUUAAUCAAACAACAAUAACAAGAAAACAACAAAACCACUCACUGCUCUUGUCUGGAUAACUUGACUAGUAUAACUAUAGUAUAAAAGUAUUAAAGUAUUAUUCAUACAGGGAAGAUCAUUAGUGAUUUUAUGUCAAGAUCAUUCUGAAUGUUUAAUUUAAAACUUGAUACUGUUAAUGUUUUCUUAAUUUGUAUUUUUGUUUGGUUUAUAGUGGGGUUUUUUUUUUUAUUCAUUGUUUUUGUUUUAUUUUAUUACUGACUGUUUACUAUUAAAUAAUAACUUGAGAACUUAAUUAUUUUAUAACUAAGUUAAUUAUUGUUAGGCAAUUGUUUGUUGUGGUAUUGAAGCUGAUAUAGAAUAUCAUCACAUUUCAAUAAAGACUACUAAAAUUUUGGUAUUUUGAUAAAUAUAUAUAUUCUGUAUGGUAUCUUGCUGCAGUAACAUGAUGGAAAAGUAGAUCUCAUUCCUUAGAAGUGUGAGCACCCCUGCUGUAAAUGAUGGUGAUGGAGACUUUCCUUUAUUUGACUACUGUGCGUACAUGUAACAUAAAAUAACCUCUACCCAGAGCAGUUUACAUUUCUGUCCCAGAUAAUCUAGUUGAUCGUAAUUUUAGAAAACAUGCAACAGAAACUCUGACAUGUUACUUGAGCAUGAAACCAAUACAUGUACUUUUUUUUUUUCUCUCUGGACAAGUAACUUUUUACUCGGACAAGUGAAAGACCAAUAUACUUGUCCGAAGGACAAGCACAUCACAAUGCUUAAUGUCGAGCCCUGCAUAUCAUCUGUAGGGAAUGCCAUAAACCGGUUGCAUCCAAAAAUGGAAGCACUUCAGAUCUCUUCCACCAUUUACAAAAGCGCCAUAAACUGCAGUACGAAGAGUGUGUUAAACUUUGUGCUGCUGCAACCCGAAAAGUCACAACUGAAACAUUUAGCUCACUUUGUAGAAAAUACCGAGAUAUAUAUCAUGCAUCGCCAUUCAGCCUAAAAAUACAGAGAUAUGAAUUUUGGUCCAUAUCGCCCAGCCCUUUUACAGUGUAAGUGCUGUUAGCAGUUGGAACCAGUAACCAUUUUCAACAAAAAUACUAUAUUUUUUCUGCCAUAAAUUAUACAAGAUAAUUCCUCUGGAUCGCUCAAAAGAAACUGAGAAAGGCCAGCCCAUGUAACUAUGGAAACCUCACACUGUUGCCUACAUGACCUGCCAGUCAAACCACUACUAGAGAUUUAUUGGCUGGAUUGAUCUAGGUAAAAAGCCAAUGUGCAUUUGGUAAUGCCACAGUGUGUCUGAUCUGUGUUGAAUGAGAGCUCUGGCUGUGAAUCACAGAUCAAGGUGUGGGUGAGCUCAAAAUACUCGGAAGAGUCCACAGAAUAGGGGAGAUGCCUAUUUUGAUAGCAAAAAAAUUAAUUAGUAUCAAUAUUUUAUUGAAAUUAGACAUUUUUGAAUACAUGAUAACAUAAAAAUAGAGGAUCAGUUGUGUUUUCCCCAGUUACCCCAUAUUUUCGAUGUUUUAGAGUCCAUUUUCAUCAGUGGACACUCGCGUUAGGCUCGUUUGAGAUGUCAAAUGCCUCGCCUCGAAAGUAGAUGAGAGCAGGUUGGUGCAGGAGAUCACUGGGAUUGAGAUUACUUUGGAAGUUAAGAAUGUUUUAUGAUAAACCUUUGGAAAAGAGAAUCUUAUGUCCUUGACCUAUUUAUUGUGUUAAGGAAAUACUAUAUCCAUAAAUGUAAAUGGUAAAAGAAGAUACCACAUUUUGGAAAUUUUACUUUGAGCUCUAUCAGUAACUUUAUACGUUGGGGGGUAUAAGGAAUGCAAAAGCAACAAAGACUGGACUGCUGUAGAGCUUUGAACUUUUACCCAUCUUAGACACCCCUUGCAUCUACGGCUCUUGAAUAUUCUAAUAUCCCUUUGUUCUUAGUUAUUUAUAUGUUCUUUUUUUCCCCUUCUGUCAUGUGAAAUGUUAUAAUAAAGCAUUAAAAAAAAGGGAGAGCAGGCUGGUGCAGUCAGGGGAGGAGUGAAAUAAGAGCUGUCAAGUCAGACAGUUCUUACUUCUCAUAGUGGAUUAGCCGCUAUGAGAUCAAAGGCAGAUAUUGCAUGAUUAACAAGUGCUUUGUUGUUAAUAAAGUGGAUGCAAUUUAAAUUGUUACUUUUAAAUGAAAAUAAAUAUGAUGAACAAAACACUCAAUGUACCUGUUAUUUAA